CUUUAGAGUAGUUACACAGUCAAAAUUUGACAUAAGACGGCUUCCAAACCCAGGCCUGCUUGUUUGGAUGCCGUUAAGCUUAGUUAUGUUAAACAAUCGGUUGCACAACCUUGCCUUGUGGAAGGCUGUGCAGUUAUGAAUUUUUUUUUUUUAAUAGUCUCUUCUGAGUUUUAAGGCUCUGCAUUAUUUCAGAAGCCCUAAUAGAUAACAUAAUGCUAUCAGGAAAUGGAUGGAUGGGUGGGUAAAUGUGACAUGGAUAUCUAAAUAGCCAAAUAAAACGAGGGUUUUCUGCGUAGUGUUGUAUUCAUAUGUUUGAGGGUACCCUCUGCAAGCAAUUUGCAUUGAAGAUGUUCUGUGUUUUUAAACUUCUAAUGCGCGGACACAUUCAUUUAAGUCCUAAUAUAAAGUUUCAGAGGCAUGAGGCCAGCUGUCCUGCACUUCUGAAAGUUGGACUUCUGAAAAAUGAGAUGAAAUGAAAUAAUUGGAGAAGAUUGUAUUAGUAAGAGAGCUGCUGUUUUAUUGCUCCCUUCUUAUACUGAAUGAAACAAAUCACAACACAUUCAGGUAAGUAGCUCAUCACAUCAUUGUUUUUAAGAACUGGGAUUGCUGAUUUAUUGUUUUUCCUUUUGUUCUUCUUUUUAUAUUAUAUAUAUAUACACGUGUGUGUGUGUGUACAUAUAUGUAUGUAUUUUCUGUCUCUGCAGGUUUAGAUAUUGUUUGGGAGAAUAGUGACUAUUAACUUCAGGAUAAUCAAACUUUCACAUGCAAAUAUUCCUGUUGACUUCAAAGGGAGUAACAAGAUAUGAAAGUUAUACUUCUGUUUAAGUCUUAACUGAAACAGAGUUGUUGUUUGUAUUCUUUGAAACUUAAAAAGAUAAAUUCCACAUCCUUCCUGGGCAAGCUAUUCUAAAGCCAUACUAUCCUUGCAGUUAAAUGUCAAAGCUUGCUUACUUGUAGCAAUAUUAGCCCCUUCUUUUUCUGUUGGCAUCAGAGGGUAAAUGGUAAACAGAUUGCUGUAAUCUAUAACACAUGUCAAAAUCAUUACAAUUUUUCCAUUCCUACUUUCUCCUCUUUUAUCUCUGCUACUCAGUCCCACAGUCUUUUUUUUAUAUUAAAGAAUAUGACGAACACCUGCUGGGCCUCAUGUUCUUGAUCUGACUUUGGGACUGGAAGACAUACUGGGUGAUAUCUUCAGUUUACUAGCAUCCCUUUUGCUGUAAUCGAUGUAGAGUGAACUUGACAUCUCAAAAAUUCAGUUUUUGGUUUUUGUUUGUAGGCUUAAAGGAAUGUCUUAGCCAACAGGGAGCAGAGAAGUACAUGGUUGUUAAUUGUUUUUAAGAAAGUAGCUGGUAAAAAU
rnacentral:lncRNA from 1 species